rnacentral:rRNA from 1 species
UACGAAGGGGGCUAGCGUUGUUCGGAAUCACUGGGCGUAAAGCGCACGUAGGCGGAUCUUUAAGUCAGGGGUGAAAUCCCGAGGCUCAACCUCGGAACUGCCUUUGAUACUGGGGAUCUCGAGUCCGGGAGAGGUGAGUGGAAUUGCGAGUGUAGAGGUGAAAUUCGUAGAUAUUCGCAAGAACACCAGUGGCGAAGGCGGCUCACUGGUCCGGUACUGACGCUGAGGUGCGAAAGCGUGGGGAGCAAACAGG